AGGACGAACGCUGGCGGCGUGCUUAACACAUGCAAGUCGAGCGGUAAGGCCUUUCGGGGUACACGAGCGGCGAACGGGUGAGUAACACGUGGGUGAUCUGCCCUGCACUCUGGGAUAAGCCUGGGAAACUGGGUCUAAUACCGGAUAUGACCUGCUCUCGCAGUGGGGGUGGGUGGAAAGAUUUAUCGGUGCAGGAUGGGCCCGCGGCCUAUCAGCUUGGUUGGUGGGGUAAUGGCCUA
rnacentral:rRNA from 1 species